rnacentral:sRNA from 1 species
UAUGUAUAUACCUUAAAUAGUUUAAGCAGAGAUAAUAAUUUGAUUUACAAUGAUAAAAAAUAAUAAUAGUCUUACAUGUAUUUUAAUUCUUACAAAAAUGUGCUAUUAUCAUGUUCGUCAUUAUGAGUUUUAUCAUGUUAACAUGAUCAUCAACAUUAUGUCAAUCAACAUACGCAUUAUCAUGACAUUAUGAUCAUGACAAGUGUAGCAUCACAUAAUAAACAUCAUAAAAUGAUGUUCACAAUCAUCAAUGUAUCUAUGUCAUCAUAAAAAGAGUAUUAAAUAAAACCAAACGCAAUCUCAUUCUUGUAUCAUCUGAUAAUAAAAGGUUUGGACUCGUUUG